UACGGGGGGGGGCAAGCGUUGUUCGGAAUUACUGGGCGUAAAGGGCGCGUAGGCGGCCUGCUAAGUCGGAUGUGAAAUCCCUCGGCUCAACCGAGGAACUGCAUCCGAUACUGGCGGGCUUGAAUCCGGGAGAGGGAUGUGGAAUUCCAGGUGUAGCGGUGAAAUGCGUAGAUAUCUGGAGGAACACCGGUGGCGAAGGCGGCAUCCUGGACCGGUAUUGACGCUGAGGCACGAAAGCUAGGGGAGCAAACGGG
rnacentral:rRNA from 1 species